rnacentral:rRNA from 1 species
GGAAUAUUGGACAAUGGGCGCAAGCCUGAUCCAGCCAUGCCGCGUGAGUGAAGAAGGCCUUAGGGUUGUAAAUCUCUUUCGGCGGGGACGAUAAUGACGGUACCAGCAGAAGAAGCACCGGCUAACUCCGUGCACGAAGCCGCGGUAAUACGAAGGGGGCAAGCGUUGUUCGGAAUUACUGGGCGUAAAGGGCACGGAGGCUGGCUGUUAAGUCGGGGGUGAAAUCCCGAGGCUCAACCUCGGAAUUGCCUUCGAUACUGACGGUCUUGAGUGCGGGAGAGGUGAGUGGAAUUCCCAGUGUAGAGGUGAAAUUCGUAGAUAUUGGGAAGAACACCAGUGGCGAAGGCGGCUCACUGGCCCGCAACUGACGCUGAGGUGCGAAAGCGUGGGGAGCAAAC